rnacentral:lncRNA from 1 species
CGUUGUUUUCUUUGUUCAAUGCCAUGCACGUUAGCACCGUAACCCUAAGUUGACCACGUGGGAUCUGUCAUCCCCGCACGGACGAUCAGCUAUCACUUCUUAAUUCCCCAUGAAAGAGAACGAAAAACGAUCUUUAAUGUACCAUCUCGAACGCCGAUCUUUCGAAACUUCGAACAGCUGCGAGUUCUCGAAAACUCAACGGCGAUUUUCCUUUUCUUGUCUGGAGAUUGUACAUGUGCGCAGGGAUUUUUAGCGACUGGACGAGGUGGAAACAACCGAUGCUUUCUUCGUGCUUCACGGUCAGCUCUCUCCUUCUUUCGUCUUCCCGAGUCCCGCAUCUGACUUUUGCGCCCCGGUUUGCUGCGGCUUGAGGGGUAGGCUUCUUCUUGGACUUACCGCUUUUUCGCACAGCGACAGUAUUCGAGGAAUUUUUGGGACUCGAAUGUGAAGUCAAUCGC